GCAGGUGAGCUUCAGCAGGUGCAGGCAGAAGUUUGCAGUGGCUUCUGUCCAUCCCUCUAGGAAUCACCCACGUCAGUGCUUCAGGCAACUGAGAUCACUGAUGGUGGGUUUUGGGGUGAUGUUUAUCACCGAUUUAAAGCUCUGAUUGUAUAGAGCUUUAAGCAAAAACUAAGGACACGUUACUGGAGUAGUUCACAGAGUUGAAGUAGAAGAUGAAGAAGCAGGCACGUUCAGGAACCAGAAGGGCUGCUGCGGGCUGGGUUCCCCAGGAGGUGGACUCUUAGUUGAGACUAGGAGGCCAGGCACUGACAACCAGCAGGGCAGCUGUCUUCAGCUGAGGCGUUCCCUGGAGGAGCCGGGCAGCUCAGGGCCUUCUGCCAGCAGCUCCCAGCAGCUUGAGAAUGGGGCCUAUGAGGAGGGGAUAAAGACUGAAUGAGGUCAGAAGAGUGGGGCCUUAGUCCAGUAGGACUAAUGCCCUAAUAAGAAGAGGAAGAGACACCAAGCUCUCUCUCUCCACCGCAUGAGGACACAGCGAGAAGGCAGCCGUCCGCAAGCCAAGGAGAGGCCUCACCAGAAUGCGAGCAUGCUGGCAGCUUGACCUUGGACUUUCCAGUCUCUAGAAUUGUG